AUCUGUAGCGGGUCUGAGAGGAUGAUCCGCACACUGGACUGAGACACGGCCCAGACUCCUACGGGAGGCAGCAGUGGGGAAUUUUGGACAAUGGGCGCAAGCCUGAUCCAGCCAUGCCGCGUGCGGGACGAAGGCCUUCGGGUUGUAAACCGCUUUCAGCCGGAAAGAAAAUCGCCAAGGCUAAUAUCCUUGGUGGAUGACGGUACCGGAAGAAGAAGCACCGGCUAACUACGUGCCAGCAGCCGCGGUAAUACGUAGGGUGCGAGCGUUAAUCGGAAUUACUGGGCGUAAAGGGUGCGCAGGCGGUUUUGCAAGCCAGACGUGAAAAUCCCCGGGCUUAACCUGGGAACUGCGUUUGGAACUGCAAGACUAGAGUGUGUCAGAGGGAGGUGGAAUUCCAC
rnacentral:rRNA from 1 species